GCUCAGGACGAACGCUGGCGGCGUGCCUAAUACAUGCAAGUAGAACGCUGAAGAGAGGAGCUUGCUCUUCUUGGAUGAGUUGCGAACGGGUGAGUAACGCGUAGGUAACCUGCCUUGUAGCGGGGGAUAACUAUUGGAAACGAUAGCUAAUACCGCAUAACAAUGGAUGACUCAUGUCAUUUAUUUGAAAGGGGCAAAUGCUCCACUACAAGAUGGACCUGCGUUGUAUUAGCUAGUAGGUGAGGUAACGGCUCACCUAGGCGACGAUACAUAGCCGACCUGAGAGGGUGAUCGGCCACACUGGGACUGAGACACGGCCCAGACUCCUACGGGAGGCAGCAGUAGGGAAUCUUCGGCAAUGGGGGCAACCCUGACCGAGCAACGCCGCGUGAGUGAAGAAGGUUUUCGGAUCGUAAAGCUCUGUUGUAAGUCAAGAACGAGUGUGAGAGUGGAAAGUUCACACUGUGACGGUAGCUUACCAGAAAGGGACGGCUAAUUACGUGCCAGCAGCCGCGGUAAUACGUAGGUCCCGAGCGUUGUCCGGAUUUAUUGGGCGUAAAGCGAGCGCAGGCGGUUUGAUAAGUCUGAAGUUAAAGGCUGUGGCUCAACCAUAGUUCGCUUUGGAAACUGUCAAACUUGAGUGCAGAAGGGGAGAGUGGAAUUCCAUGUGUAGCGGUGAAAUGCGUAGAUAUAUGGAGGAACACCGGUGGCGAAAGCGGCUCUCUGGUCUGUAACUGACGCUGAGGCUCGAAAGCGUGGGGAGCGAACAGGAUUAGAUACCCUGGUAGUCCACGCCGUAAACGAUGAGUGCUAGGUGUUGGAUCCUUUCCGGGAUUCAGUGCCGCAGCUAACGCAUUAUGCACUCCGCCUGGGGAGUAC
rnacentral:rRNA from 1 species